AGAAGACCUCUGUUUCAAGUCUCUGGCUAACUAGCUAGGACAGGAGGUCUCGAUUCUGACUAAAUGUAAUUAUUGGAAUACUCCCAGUAUUGCUUUCUAAUGCAGAUAAAUCACUAUGAAAAGGAAACUAGAUGAAGGUUUAAUUUCUGAUUUUAUUUUCAAUUGAAUUUUGUCUGUUUAAUUGACACAUAUUCACAGAGUACACAGUGAUGUUUUGAAACAUAUAACGUACAGUGACUAAGACCAGGGUAAUUAGCACAUCCAUCAUCUCAAUCAUUUAUUAUUUGUGUUGGGAACAUUCAAUAUCCUCCUUUCAGGUGACCACCGACUGCAGACUGUAUUAACUGAAACUGGCCACAGCAAUGUUUCCUAUGUGCUUUUCCAGAAUCCUGCCACUUUUCAUCAAGAGCUGAAGUCUAUUCCCCUUCCUUCUCAACCUAGGUGAGACUUUGUGACUAUCUCCAACCUGUAGAAUGAGGUAGAAAUAAUGCUGCAUAACUUCAGAGACUAUGUCAUAAAAGGCCGUAUGGUUUCUGCCUGGUUCUUUUUCUCUUGUGACACUUGCCCUUGGAGACUCUGCCCACUGUGCUGUGAGGAAGCCUAAACUAGCACACAUGGAAAAGGCCACAUGGAGGAGCCCACCUGGAGAGGAACUGAGGCAUCCUUGGAUAAUGGCCAGCAUCAUCUGGCUGAGCCAGACAUGUGCGAACAAGCCUUCAGAACCUAAGUUU
ensembl:lncRNA novel transcript